AUGGUGAAGAUUAAAUGUUCAAAGGACGAUGUGAGAGUCCACACCUUGGCACAUAUGUUCAGGGCAAAUGGUAUACCACUAGAGAAUAUUUAUGUGCGUCGGAGCGGGAAUGCUUAUCUCUGUGGCCAGAAGUUUAUGAGGGAACUCGCCAAGCAAGAACUGGACGAAUGUGGGGACGACUGGAUGUAA
rnacentral:rRNA from 1 species